rnacentral:rRNA from 1 species
GAUGAACGCUGGCGGCGUGCCUAAUACAUGCAAGUCGAGCGAACAGACGAGGAGCUUGCUCCUCUGACGUUAGCGGCGGACGGGUGAGUAACACGUGGAUAACCUACCUAUAAGACUGGGAUAACUUCGGGAAACCGGAGCUAAUACCGGAUAAUAUAUUGAACCGCAUGGUUCAAUAGUGAAAGACGGUUUUGCUGUCACUUAUAGCUGGAUCCGCGCCGCAUUAGCUAGUUGGUAAGGUAACGGCUUACCAAGGCAACUAUGCGUAGCCGACCUGAGAGGGUGAUCGGCCACACUGGAGCUGAGACACGGUCCAGACUCUUACGGGAGGCAGCAGUAGGGAAUCUUCCGCAAUGGGCGAAAGCCUGACGGAGCAACGCCGCGUGAGUGAUGAAGGUCUUCGGAUCGUAAAACUCUGUUAUUAGGGAAGAACAAAUGUGUAAGUAACUAUGCACGUCUUGACGGUACCUAAUUAGAAAGCCACGGCUAACUACGUG